CAGCCGCCGCGGUAAUACGUAUGUCACAAGCGUUAUCCGGAUUUAUUGGGCGUAAAGCGCGUCUAGGUGGUUAUGUAAGUCUGAUGUGAAAAUGCAGGGCUCAACUCUGUAUUGCGUUGGAAACUGUGUAACUAGAGUACUGGAGAGGUAAGCGGAACUACAAGUGUAGAGGUGAAAUUCGUAGAUAUUUGUAGGAAUGCCGAUGGGGAAGCCAGCUUACUGGACAGAUGCUGACGCUGAAGCGCGAAAGCGUGGGUAGCAAACAGGAUUAGAUACCCGUGUAGUCCCUGUCUCUUAUACA
rnacentral:rRNA from 1 species